UACAGAGGUCUCAAGCGUUGUUCGGAUUCAUUGGGCGUAAAGGGUGCGUAGGUGGCGCUGUAAGUCAGGUGUGAAAUUUCGGAGCUUAACUCCGAAACUGCAUUUGAUACUGCGGUGCUUGAGGACUGGAGAGGAGACUGGAAUUUACGGUGUAGCAGUGAAAUGCGUAGAGAUCGUAAGGAAGACCAGUGGCGAAGGCGGGGUCUCUGGACAGUUCCUGGACACUGAGGCACGAAGGCCAGGGGAGCAAACGGGG
rnacentral:rRNA from 1 species